GUUCUUAUAGUUGAAGUACAACGAUGAUUUUUCAUGUCAUUGGUCGUGGACGAGUCCAUGUAAGAAUA
rnacentral:tRNA from 1 species